ACUGAACGCUGGCGGCAUGCCUUACACAUGCAAGUCGAACGGUAACAGGUCUUCGGAUGCUGACGAGUGGCGAACGGGUGAGUAAUACAUCGGAACGUGCCUAGUAGUGGGGGAUAACUACUCGAAAGAGUGGCUAAUACCGCAUGAGAUCUACGGAUGAAAGCAGGGGAUCGCAAGACCUUGUGCUACUAGAGCGGCCGAUGGCAGAUCAGGUAGUUGGUGGGAUAAAAGCUUACCAAGCCGACGAUCUGUAGCUGGUCUGAGAGGACGAUCAGCCACACUGGGACUGAGACACGGCCCAGACUCCUACGGGAGGCAGCAGUGGGGAAUUUUGGACAAUGGGCGAAAGCCUGAUCCAGCAAUGCCGCGUGCAGGAUGAAGGCCUUCGGGUUGUAAACCGCUUUUGUACGGAACGAAAAGCCCCGGGUUAAUACCCUGGGGUCAUGACGGUACCGUAAGAAUAAGCACCGGCUAACUACGCGCCAGCCGCCGCAGUAA
rnacentral:rRNA from 1 species